GAUCAUGGCUCAGAUUGAACGCUGGCGGCAUGCCUUACACAUGCAAGUCGAACGGCAGCACGGGAGCAAUCCUGGUGGCGAGUGGCGAACGGGUGAGUAAUAUAUCGGAACGUGCCCAGUCGUGGGGGGAUAACGUAGCGAAAGCUACGCUAAUACCGCAUACGAUCUAUGGAUGAAAGCGGGGGAUCGCAAGACCUCGCGCGAUUGGGAGCGGCCGAUAUCAGAUUAGGUAGUUGGUGAGGUAAAGGCUCACCAAGCCGACGAUCUGUAGCUGGUCUGAGAGGACGACCAGCCACACUGGGACUGAGACACGGCCCAGACUCCUACGGGAGGCAGCAGUGGGGAAUAUUGGACAAUGGGCGAAAGCCUGAUCCAGCAAUGCCGCGUGAGUGAUGAAGGCCUUAGGGUUGUAAAGCUCUUUUACCCGGGAUGAUAAUGACAGUACCGGGAGAAUAAGCUCCGGCUAACUCCGUG
rnacentral:rRNA from 1 species